rnacentral:tmRNA from 3 species
GGGGCCGACUGGUUUUGACAGCGAGACCAAUGGCAUUGUAAGCAUGUCGAGCGCUGGGAUACAGCUCGUUAAUCUCAUAUUUCACACUUUUUAAAUGGCGAAUCUAAUUACGCUCUUGCCGCUUAAU